GAUGAACGCUAGCGACAGGCCUAACACAUGCAAGUCGAGGGGCAGCACAUGAGUAGCAAUACGAUGGUGGCGACCGGCGCACGGGUGAGUAACACGUAUGCAACCUGCCUGUAAGAGGGGAAUAACCCGGAGAAAUUCGGACUAAUACCGCAUAAUACCACGAGACUGCAUGGUUUUGUGGUUAAACAUUUAUGGCUUACAGAUGGGCAUGCGUAUGAUUAGAUAGUUGGUAGGGUAACGGCCUACCAAGUCUACGAUCAUUAGGGGUUCUGAGAGGAAGGUCCCCCACACUGGUACUGAGACACGGACCAGACUCCUACGGGAGGCAGCAGUGAGGAAUAUUGGUCAAUGGGCGAGAGCCUGAGCCAGCCAAGUCGCGUGAAGGAAGAAGGUUCUAUGGAUUGUAAACUUCUUUUGCAGGGGAAUAAAGGACGGUACGUGUACUGUUUUGUAUGUACCUUGCGAAUAAGGAUCGGCUAACUCCGUGCCAGCAGCAGCCGCAGUAA
rnacentral:rRNA from 1 species